GGGUUGUGAGGUUAAGCGACUAAGCGUACACGGUGGAUGCCCUGGCAGUCAGAGGCGAUGAAGGACGUGCUAAUCUGCGAUAAGCGUCGGUAAGGUGAUAUGAACCGUUAUAACCGGCGAUUUCCGAAUGGGGAAACCCAGUGUGAUUCGUCACACUAUCAUUAACUGAAUCCAUAGGUUAAUGAGGCGAACCGGGGGAACUGAAACAUCUAAGUACCCCGAGGAAAAGAAAUCAACCGAGAUUCCCCCAGUAGCGGCGAGCGAACGGGGAGCAGCCCAGAGCCUGAAUCAGUGUGUGUGUUAGUGGAAGCGUCUGGAAAGGCGCGCGAUACAGGGUGACAGCCCCGUACACAAAAAUGCACAUAUUGUGAGCUCGAUGAGUAGGGCGGGACACGUGGUAUCCUGUCUGAAUAUGGGGGGCCCAUCCUCCAAGGCUAAAUACUCCUGACUGACCGAUAGUGAACCAGUACCGUGAGGGAAAGGCGAAAAGAACCCCGGCGAGGGGAGUGAAAAAGAACCUGAAACCGUGUACGUACAAGCAGUGGGAGCACGCUUAGGCGUGUGACUGCGUACCUUUUGUAUAAUGGGUCAGCGACUUAUAUUCUGUAGCAAGGUUAACCGAAUAGGGGAGCCGAAGGGAAACCGAGUCUUAACUGGGCGUUAAGUUGCAGGGUAUAGACCCGAAACCCGGUGAUCUAGCCAUGGGCAGGUUGAAGGUUGGGUAACACUAACUGGAGGACCGAACCGACUAAUGUUGAAAAAUUAGCGGAUGACUUGUGGCUGGGGGUGAAAGGCCAAUCAAACCGGGAGAUAGCUGGUUCUCCCCGAAAGCUAUUUAGGUAGCGCCUCGUGAAUUCAUCUCCGGGGGUAGAGCACUGUUUCGGCAAGGGGGUCAUCCCGACUUACCAACCCGAUGCAAACUGCGAAUACCGGAGAAUGUUAUCACGGGAGACACACGGCGGGUGCUAACGUCCGUCGUGAAGAGGGAAACAACCCAGACCGCCAGCUAAGGUCCCAAAGUCAUGGUUAAGUGGGAAACGAUGUGGGAAGGCCCAGACAGCCAGGAUGUUGGCUUAGAAGCAGCCAUCAUUUAAAGAAAGCGUAAUAGCUCACUGGUCGAGUCGGCCUGCGCGGAAGAUGUAACGGGGCUAAACCAUGCACCGAAGCUGCGGCAGCGACGCUUAUGCGUUGUUGGGUAGGGGAGCGUUCUGUAAGCCUGCGAAGGUGUGCUGUGAGGCAUGCUGGAGGUAUCAGAAGUGCGAAUGCUGACAUAAGUAACGAUAAAGCGGGUGAAAAGCCCGCUCGCCGGAAGACCAAGGGUUCCUGUCCAACGUUAAUCGGGGCAGGGUGAGUCGACCCCUAAGGCGAGGCCGAAAGGCGUAGUCGAUGGGAAACAGGUUAAUAUUCCUGUACUUGGUGUUACUGCGAAGGGGGGACGGAGAAGGCUAUGUUGGCCGGGCGACGGUUGUCCCGGUUUAAGCGUGUAGGCUGGUUUUCCAGGCAAAUCCGGAAAAUCAAGGCUGAGGCGUGAUGACGAGGCACUACGGUGCUGAAGCAACAAAUGCCCUGCUUCCAGGAAAAGCCUCUAAGCAUCAGGUAACAUCAAAUCGUACCCCAAACCGACACAGGUGGUCAGGUAGAGAAUACCAAGGCGCUUGAGAGAACUCGGGUGAAGGAACUAGGCAAAAUGGUGCCGUAACUUCGGGAGAAGGCACGCUGAUAUGUAGGUGAAGUCCCUUGCGGAUGGAGCUGAAAUCAGUCGAAGAUACCAGCUGGCUGCAACUGUUUAUUAAAAACACAGCACUGUGCAAACACGAAAGUGGACGUAUACGGUGUGACGCCUGCCCGGUGCCGGAAGGUUAAUUGAUGGGGUCAGCGCAAGCGAAGCUCUUGAUCGAAGCCCCGGUAAACGGCGGCCGUAACUAUAACGGUCCUAAGGUAGCGAAAUUCCUUGUCGGGUAAGUUCCGACCUGCACGAAUGGCGUAAUGAUGGCCAGGCUGUCUCCACCCGAGACUCAGUGAAAUUGAACUCGCUGUGAAGAUGCAGUGUACCCGCGGCAAGACGGAAAGACCCCGUGAACCUUUACUAUAGCUUGACACUGAACAUUGAGCCUUGAUGUGUAGGAUAGGUGGGAGGCUUUGAAGUG
rnacentral:rRNA from 1 species